AAUGAACGCUGGCGGCAUGGAUUAGGCAUGCAAGUCGAACGGUAGACAUUUCUCUCGGAGAUGUUGAGAGUGGCGAAAGGGUGAGUAACGCGUGAGCAAUCUGCCCCCGAGACGGAGAUAGCCCCGGGAAGCCGGGAUUAAUAUCCGAUGUGGACGCGCUUCGCAUGGAGCGCCGUUCAAAGUUUUUCGCUCGGGGAUGAGCUCGCGUCCCAUUAGCUAGUUGGUGAGGUAACGGCCCACCAAGGCGAAGACGGGUAGCUGGUCUGAGAGGAUGGUCAGCCACACUGGGACUGAGACACUGCCCAGACUCCUACGGGAGGCUGCAGUCGAGAAUCUUCCGCAAUGGGCGAAAGCCUGACGGAGCAAUGCCGCGUGAGGGAUGAAGGCCUUCGGGUUGUAAACCUCUAUCACCGGGGACGAAUAUUUGACGGUACCCGGAGAGGAAGCCACGGCUAACUACGUGCCAGCAGCCGCGGUAAUACGUAGGUGGCGAGCGUUAUUCGGAUUCACUGGGCGUAAAGGGUUCGUAGGGUGUCUGCCAAGUCCGAUGUGAAAAGCCGCGGCUCAACCGCGGUCGUGCAUUGGAUACUGGCGGACUUGAGUGCAUGAGGGGAAAGCGGAAUUCCUGGUGUAGCGGUGGAAUGCGUAGAUAUCAGGAAGAACACCGGCGGCGAAGGCGGCUUUCUGGCAUGUCACUGACCCUGAGGGACGAAAGCGUGGGUAGCGAACAGGAUUAGAUACCCUGGUAGUCCACGCCGUAAACGUUGUGCGCUCGAUGUGGGACCUGUCGUUUCGGCGGGUUCCGUGUCCAAGUCAACGCGUUAAGCGCACCGCCUGGGGACUACGGUCGCAAGGCUA
rnacentral:rRNA from 1 species